rnacentral:rRNA from 1 species
CAGUAGCCGCGGUAAAACGGAGGGUGCAAGCGUUAAUCGGAAUUACUGGGCGUAAAGCGCACGCAGGCGGUCUGACAAGUCAGAUGUGAAAUCCCCGGGCUUAACCUGGGAACUGCAUUUGAAACUGUCAGGCUGGAGUCUUGUAGAGGGGGGUAGAAUUCCAGGUGUAGCGGUGAAAUGCGUAGAGAUCUGGAGGAAUACCGGUGGCGAAGGCGGCCCCCUGGACAAAGACUGACGCUCAGGUGCGAAAGCGUGGGGAGCAAACAGGAUUAGAUACCCGUGUAGUCCCUGUCUCUUAUAC